rnacentral:lncRNA from 13 species
GGGCUGAGCCUCGGGAAGGUUCGGGAUCAUCCCGGUGGGAUUUGGGGAGGAUUUGGGAAGGGCUGAGCCUCGGGAAGGUUCGGGAUCAUCCCGCUGGGAUUUGGGAUCAUCCCGGUGGGAUUUGGGGAGGAUUUGGGAAGGGCUGAGCCUCGGGAAGAGCUGGGAUCACCCCGAUGGGAUUUGGGGAAUUUGGGGGGGGGAUUUUGGGGGGAUCUGAGACCGGGAACUCAUUGCAGGGAUGGGGCCGGGCUGGGAUCACCCCGGGAAGGUUUGGGAUCAUCCCGAUGGGAUUUGGGAGGGGCUGCACCUCAGGAAUGUUUGGGAUCAUCCCGGUGCGAUUUAGGAUGAUCCCGAUGGGAUCUGGGGAGGAUUUGGGGGAAUUUGGGGGGAUCCGAGACCGAAAAUCCUCCCCGGGCCCGGGUGGGGCACCCUAAACCCUCCCGAUUUUGGGAAUGGGGGACACGGACACCCCAACCAUUCCCGGUUUUUGGGGUGGGAGACCCCAAACUCUUCCCGGCUUCUGGGGUGGAGCCCAGGACCCUCCAAAGGCGCCGAUCCAGCCCCUGCGGAUCCCCGGAUCCCUCAUCCCGAGCGUUCCCGAAGCCCCAGGAAAACCUCGGGAAUGGGCCCAGCCCCGGUGCCAGGGCGGGAAUUCCACGGGAACACCGGGAGCACCGACCGGGAUCCCUCGGGAAAGCGGGAAUGGGACGGGCCGGGAAUGCUGACGGGGGAACGUCCCUGCGGAUCGUCCUGGAAGGAAAACGGGGACCUGGGAAAGGAUCCGGGGAAUCCCAGCCUGGGAAAGGAUCUGGGGAAAGGAUCCGGGGAAUCCCAGCCCUGGGAAAGGAUCCAGGGGAAAGGAUCCAGGGAAUCCCAGCCCUGGGAAAGGAUCCGGGGAAUCCCAGCCCUGGGAAAGGAUCUGGGGAAUCCCAGCCUGGGAAAGGAUCCAGGGAAUCCCAGCCUGGGAAAGGAUCCCGGGAAUCCCAGCCCCGGGAAAGGAGCCGGGGGGUGUCUGGGAUCCCCAUUCCCAUGGAAAAGGAUCCAGGGGGAUCCCGAGGACUCCCAUCCCUACGGACACGGAUCCAGAGGGUGUUUGGGAUCCCCAUCGCACGGGACAAUCCCGGGAAUGUCAGCAAUCCCGGGAAUAUCAGCAAUCCCAUCCCGCGGCCGCAUCCGGAGCCCCGGGAUUCCAGGGAAAGGCUCCGGGAACGCUCCUGGAGCGGGAGCGGCUCCUUCCCCCAUUCCCCCAUUCCCACCGGGAUCAGGCGGGAACGGCCUCAGCUCUCCCACAUUCCCACAUUCCCCCUUUCCCACAUUCCCAAAUUCCCCCUUUCCCACAUUCCAGAGCCGUCUCCUUUUCCCACCGAUCCGGGAGCGCUCCCGGAUCCCAUUCCCGGGUCCCAUUCCCGGAACCCAUUCCCGGAACCCAUUCCCGGGAUGCAGAGCCCAGGGAAUUCCGAGCUGCGAUCCCUGGGAUAUUCCCGCAUUUCCGGCUCCCGAGGGAGCUCUUCCCUUUUCCCGCUUUUCCCCCAAACCCCUCCCGGGGUUUUUCCUGCCGGGAUCCCGGAAAAGCUGCAGGGACCAUCCCGAGGAAUUCCCGGGAUUCUCCCGCCCCGUUUCCCAGGGAACGGUGGGAACUCAGCGCAAUUCCAAAGGGAAUCCCAACCCCCCCCAUCCCGAGCCGGAGCUUUUCCCGAAGAAUCCCAUCCCCCAUCCCCAGGGCGGAGCUUUCCCGACAAUUCCCGGCGGGAAGAAUUCCAGAGGGUUCCCGGAGCCCAGGCUUUGUUCGCUCCGCUUUUCCAGCUCCCCCAUUCCCGGGAAAUCCCUCGCAUCGUCCUUGGGAAAGCGGGGCCGGGAGCUUCACAUGAAAUCGUCGGAGUCGUUCCCGUCCUGCGGGAAAAAACCGGGAAAAAACCGGGAAUGCGGGAACGGGGAUGGCCGGGAAUUCCCGCGGCUCCGGGCGAGUCCCGGGAAUUGCGGCGAUUCCCGGGAAAUCGAAGCCCAGCGCGGCGGGAAUGCCGGGCUGGAGCGGGGGGAGGGAGCCCCGGGAUGAUCCCGAUCCCAUCCCGGCACUUCCCGGGAUCCCGGGGGGCUCCAAGUGUUCCUUGGACACUUCCCGGCCCCCGGCGGCUCCUCCCCCCCCCUCGGGAUGGGAGCUCCGGGAAUUCCCAUUCCCGAUCCCAUUCCCAUUCCCAGUUCCCAUUCCCAGUUCUGGCUGCUGUUCCUUUGGGAUGGGAGCUCCGGGAAUUCCCAUUCCCGAUCCCAUUCCCAUUCCCAGUUCCCAUUGCCAGCUCCGGCCGCUGUUCCUUUGGGAUGGGAGCUCCGGGAAUUCCCAUUCCCGAUCCCAAUCCCAUUCCCAAUCCCAUUCCCAGUUCCCAUUCCCAGCUCCGGCCGCUGUUCCCUUAGGAUGGGAGCACCAGGAAUUCCCGAUCCCAAUCCUGAUCCCAAUCCCAUUCCCAGUUCGAAUUCCCUGUUUCCAUUCCAAUCCCAUUUCCAAUCCCAAUCCCGUUCCAGUUCCCAUUCCCAUUCCCAGCUCCUCCCUUGGGAUGGGAGCACCGGGAAUUCCCAUUCCCAUUCCCAAUCCCAUCCCCAUUCCCAGCCCCAUUCCCAGCCCCAGCGGCUCCUUCUUCGGGAUGGGAGCUCCAGGAAUUCCCAAUCCCAAUCCCAUUCCCAGACCCUGUUACCAUUCCCAUUCCCAGCUCCUCCCUCAGGAUGGGAGCACCGGGAAUUCCCAUUCCCAAUCCAGUUCCCAUUCCCAGCUCUGGCAGCUCCUCCCUCGGGAUGGAAGAUCCAGAAAUACCCAUCCCAAUCCCAUUCCCAGUUUGAAUUCCCUGUUUCCAUUCCCAGUUCCCAUUCCCAGCUCCAGCGGCUCCUCUCCUUCAGGAUGGGAGCACUGGGAAUUCCCAUUCCCAUCCCAAUCCUGUUCCCAAUCCCAUUCCCAUUCCCAUCCCAAUCCCAUUCCCAUUCCCAUCCCAAUCCCACUCACAAUCCUAAUCCCAAUCCCAUUCCCAUUCCCAAUCCCGUUCCCAUUCCCAAUCCCGUUCACAUUCCCAAUCCCAUUCCCAAUCCCAUUCCCAAUCCCAUUCCCAAUCUCAUUCCCAAUCCCAAUCCCAUCCCAAUCCCCAUCCCCAUCCCAUUCCCAUUCCCAAUCCCGUUCCCAAUCCCAAUCCCAUUCCAUUCCUCAUCCCAUUCCAUUCCUCAUUCCCUUCCCA